GCCCCCGUAGCUCAGUUAUGGAUAGAGCAAGGGAUUCCUAAUCCCUGUGUCGCUGGUUCGAAUCCAGUCGGGGGCGCCA
rnacentral:tRNA from 1 species